AUACUUAGUUGGCAAGGGAGAUAUGAUCGUGAAGGUGGUUUUCCCAGGUUGAAGUUUAUCCAUUGUACUCUGGGUGUGCUGACCCCUGCAAUUUCCCCAAAUGUAGGAAACACUACUGCAUAAUUUGUGAUAACAGGGGACUGUGUUUGCCCUCUCCCCUG